rnacentral:tRNA from 1 species
GUGGUGGCUCAGUGGUAGAGCACUUGCCUAGCAUAUGUGAGGCACUGGGUUUGAUCCUCAGUCCCACA